rnacentral:ncRNA from 1 species
GACCCGUUUUCCGAACUGUCACCGUAUGGUGCGCGUGUCUGGAUAACCAGAAUAGGAAGCGGGUAUUUU